rnacentral:rRNA from 1 species
GGCGCGCCCCGGGCGGGGCGGGGGCACGGGGGGAACGCGAAGAACCUUACCAAGGCUUGACAUACACCGGAAACGUCCAGAGAUGGGCGCCCCCUUGUGGUCGGUGUACAGGUGGUGCAUGGCUGUCGUCAGCUCGUGUCGUGAGAUGUUGGGUUAAGUCCCGCAACGAGCGCAACCCUUGUCCCGUGUUGCCAGCAGGCCCUUGUGGUGCUGGGGACUCACGGGAGACCGCCGGGGUCAACUCGGAGGAAGGUGGGGACGACGUCAAGUCAUCAUGCCCCUUAUGUCUUGGGCUGCACACGUGCUACAAUGGCUUGGUACAAUGAGCUGCGAUACCGCGAGGUGGAGCGAAUCUCAAAAAGCCAUCUCAGUUCGGAUUGGGGUCUGCAACUCGACCCCAUUGAAGUCGGAGUCGCUAGUAAUCG